GAGUUCCGACUUCUAAUUUUAAGGUUAACUUUGUUAUUGUUAUUGUAUUGCUAUUAUAAUAAAUUGAACGAUGUAACUUCCAUCGUUAAACUUACAUCAUGUAAGCGACUGUGGUUAUUAACUGAUUGAUCUACUCAUUGAAAAACAGAUUUGUUGAUUUGAAAUUAAUGUGCGGGUUUCCGAUAUUGAAAAGGUCGAUAAAUUUGGCAGUGUUUCAAAACGGUGGUUUCCUAGAAGCAAGCAAAUUCAAAAUUCUCCAAUGAUAACCGCUAGAAGCCGGGUGAGUGUUUGGCAGAUUUUAUUUACUAAAAUCGAGUGCAGUAAAUGUGAUACAGUUUUUCAGUAGAAUAGCAUUAGCAAACUGUUAAGAGUUAAACCUUAGAGAAUCUUGUGGAAGAUUACACCAAGAAUGAAAUUAUUCCAGGACAAAGUGAUGGUUCAAUAGAAAAAACUGAGAACCUCAGUCAUCAUUUGGGUAAUAACAAUAUUUAUUCAACAAGUUAAAUAAACAUACGGCUCACCAAAUCAUAUACUGUUUUUCUAUGAAGGAGGUGAACAAAUACAUGGUAACAGAAGCUUUAGCUAGGAGCUAUCCCUUCUACGUGAUACCUUCAGAGAGUUCUCCUUACUUUUCAUGUUGUGCCAGUGUGCAAUGGGACAAUAUAUUAUUUUAGACUUUUUUAUGUAAAGCCACAUGUUCUUGUAAUCUUUAAUGUGGAUCAAUUGUUUACAUUGAAUCGUUUUGAGCAAAUUGUUCAAGUGUCUAUGCCAUCAUUUGAUAGUUAAGCAAAUAUCCUUAGUUGUGGUAACCAGCAUAAGUGAAAUAUUUUGCAAGUAUUUUUCAAAAAAAUACUGACAUACUGAAAACAUUUUUCAUUGAAAGAUAUUUACCACAUAUUAUUAGUUGAAAUGGUUUAUAUUAUAUAUUUAUAAAUGAAAAUUCUGAUAUCCCUAGCGAAGAAAAUCUUAUGGAGGCAAACAAAUUAUCAAAAAUAUUCAUUUAUUCCUGGAUUGAGUGACACUCAAAAUGCAAUCACUACAUUUCUUCAUUUAAGAGUUGGUAGGAACUUAUCCUCCCCACUUAUAGGUUUGCUAAGAAAAUGCUUUUGAUUUCAAUAACUACGAGGCAUAUUAUAGUUGAGCAUUUAGUGCAAGAAUGGUACAUACAUAGUGCAUAUGACUGUGGCAUGUGGGUGUUUUUUUUGUGUGUAGUUGACUGUUCAUUUAUCUACAGGGUUAUCUCACAAGAUUGUUAAUGGCCAAAACCUCUUCCUUCUAUCUUCUUU